CAAUCGGCCCUUUUCAAGGCCAACAAGUGUAUACUAAAGAAUUAUU
rfam:Aedes aegypti strain Liverpool supercont1.1849 genomic scaffold, whole genome shotgun sequence.